UGGAAAUUUAUGCAUUAUACAAACAGAGUACUGUAGGGGAUACGAAUAUACCUAAGCCAGGUGAUUCAGUUGCAGCUGCCAAGUGGAGCGCAUGGAAUGGAAAGAAAGGGUUAGCUUCAAGCAAGGCCAAAGAAGAAUACAUCGCCAAAGUUAAUACACUAGCACCAAAAUACGCUUGAACAAAUUUAUUUAAAUCAAUCACUAGCUUUAAAUAUGUCAUUGCCUAUCGAAAUAAAAGACACUUAAGAACAUUAAAG